UGACUCCUAACUCUUACAGAGUGUCAGACCU
rnacentral:piRNA from 1 species